CCAUUCGAUAGCUCAGUUGGUAGAGCGGAGGACUGUAGAUCCUUAGGUCGCUGGUUCAACUCCGGCUCGAAGGA